rnacentral:rRNA from 1 species
ACACGACUACAUUAGAUACCCCGGUAGUCCCAGCCCUAAACGAUGCGCGUUAGGUGUAUCGGUGACCACGAGUCACCGAGGUGCCGAAGGGAAACCGUGAAACGUGCCGCCUGGGAAGUGCGGUCGCAAGGCUGAAACUUAAAGGAAUUGGCGGGGAGCACCACAACGGGUGGAGCCUGCGGUUUAAUUGGACUCAAUGCCGGGAAGCUCACCGGAUAAGACAGCGGAAUGAUUGCCGGGCUGAAGACCCUGCAUGACCAGCUG